rnacentral:rRNA from 1 species
GUGGGGCCUGAUGUGUGGUUCAAGCGAUGGGGUGACACAGUGGGGUAGCCAUGCCGCUUAGUGGAUUGUUGGUGUAAGCGUGUAGGUGAUGGUGUAGGUAAAUCCGCACUUGUUAUGCUGAGACGUGAUGCGUAGCCUUAAUUGGUGAAGUUGGUGAUCCCGUACUGUCGAGAAAAGCCUCUAGCGAUGUAUAUACUCGGCCCGUACCCCAAACCGACACAGGUAGUCAGGUUGAAAAUACUAAGGCGUUCGGGUGAACUGUGGUUAAGGAACUCGGCAAAAUGCCCCCGUAACUUCGGGAGAAGGGGGACCCUAUGGCGUGAACACCCAUUUGCGGUGGGAAGCGUUGUGGGGUCGCAGAGAAUAGAGGGAAGCGACUGUUUAUCAAAAACACAGGUCCAUGCGAAGACGUUAAGUUGAUGUAUAUGGACUGACGCCUGCCCGGUGCUGGAAGGUUAAGAGGACCGGUUAAUCAAGCUUUGCUUGGUGAAGCUGAGAAUUUAAGCCCCAGUAAACGGCGGUGGUAACUAUAACCAUCCUAAGGUAGCGAAAUUCCUUGUCGGGUAAGUUCCGACCUGCACGAAUGGCGUAACGACUUCCCUGCUGUCUCAACCACAGGCCCGGUGAAAUUGCACUACGAGUAAAGAUGCUCGUUACGCGCGGCAGGACGAAAAGACCCCGGGACCUUCACUAUAGCUUGGUAUUGGUGUUCGGUUCGGUUUGUGUA